GACGAACGCUGGCGGCGUGCUUAACACAUGAAAGUCGAACGGAAAGGCCCUGCUUUUGUGGGGUGCUCGAGUGGCGAACGGGUGAGUAACACGUGAGUAACCUGCCCUUUACUUUGGGAUAACUUCAGGAAACUGGGGCUAAUACCGGAUAGGAGCUCCUGCUGCAUGGUGGGGGUUGGAAAGUUUCGGCGGUUGGGGAUGGACUCGCGGCUUAUCAGCUUGUUGGUGGGGUCGUGGCUUACCAAGGCUUUGACGGGUAGCCGGCCUGAGAGGGUGACCGGCCACAUUGGGACUGAGAUACGGCCCAGACUCCUACGGGAGGCAGCAGUGGGGAAUAUUGCACAAGGGGCGGAAGCCUGAUGCAGCAACGCCGCGUGCGGGAUGACGGCCUUCGGGUUGUAAGCCGCUUUCGCCUGUGACGAAGCGGGAGUGACGGUAAUGGGUAAAGAAGCACCGGCUAACUACGUG
rnacentral:rRNA from 1 species